rnacentral:rRNA from 1 species
ACGGGUGAGUAUAAUGUGGGUAUCUGCCUUUUGGUUUGGAAUAACACGGGGAAACCUGUGCUAAUACCGGAUAAGCCUUUACAGGGAAAGUUUUAACGCCAAAAGAUGAGCCCGCACUUGAUUAGCUAGUUGGUAAGGUAAUGGCUUACCAAGGCUACGAUCAAUAGCUGAUCUGAGAGGAUGAUCAGCCACAUUGGGACUGAGACACGGCCCAAACUCCUACGGGAGGCAGCAGUGGGGAAUCUUGCACAAUGGGGGAAACCCUGAUGCAGCGAUGCCGCGUGAGUGAAGAAGGCCUUUGGGUUGUAAAGCUCUUUCGUCGGGGAAGAAAAUGACUGUACCCGAAUAAGAAGGUCCGGCUAACUUCGUGCCAGCAGCCGCGGUAAUACGAAGGGACCUAGCGUAGUUCGGAAUUACUGGGCUUAAAGAGCUCGUAGGUGGUUAGAAAAGUUGGUGGUGAAAUCCCAAGGCUUAACCUUGGAACUGCCACCAAAACUUUUUAACUAGAGUGUGAUAGAGGAAAGUGGAAUUUCUAGUGUAGAGGUGAAAUUCAUAGAUUUUAGAAGAACACCAAUUUGCGAAGGCAACUUUCUGGAUCAUUACUGACACUGAGGAGCGAAACCUGGGUAACGAAAGAGGAUUAAAUCCCCUUGUAGUCCCAUGC